rnacentral:misc_RNA from 1 species
CGGAACUAUUUGCUGUUAAUGUUCGCAGCCUCGCAUCAAGCUUUCUCAUCGCAUGGAUGUGGUUCAGCAAUUUCCUCCUACUUCGUUACUUUGGAACUAUCGCCAUAUCCCUCGGUCUCCACGCCACGUACUACAUCUGCGCCUGCAUCACACUCAUGGGCGCCGGGUACAUUUACUUUACCAUACCGGAGACUAAGGGCAAGAGUCAGAACCAAAUCACCGAAGCUUUAGAGGGUCCUUGGAUUUUGUUUAAAAAGAAGAGGAAAAAUGAACGAUGACAUUUAUC